UUUUUUCUUUUGGUGGAGGGGAAAGGUUUAUUUAUUCAAGAGCCAGAGUUGAGUAAUGCUAGAUGACGGGGCUUGCAGAGGUCGGCUACUGCUGUAGUAUUAUAUUAGCGAAUAGAGUAAAAGUAAAGUACUAAAAGAAAAAAAAGUACAGUACACUCAAUAUUCGAGGUAAAUACUGAUGUUGACAAUCAUCACAAUCUAUUCGCCGACAUAAAGCAAAUAGACACUUGCACCGCGCCCGAGCAGUUCAACUUUUCUAUCUCUGUGAUUUCGGUAGUUCCAGAGUGCACAGUCGAAUAUUGUGUGUUGUGCUUCUCGUUUUCAACAACAAGAAUUGUGGAUUUUUUUCAUUCUCGAGCUAAAUUAAAUUUGUGUAAAUGAUUGGCAACAUGUAACUCUUGAAUUUGUGAGAAAGUCCUUCUUUUUGAACCGCCAUUUAAUCAGUACUACCUGUUUCACCUGAAACUUACAGGAUGCCGUCGGCUCCAGCUCAUAAUUAUGAGGCAGAUAGCAUUUCAAAAAUCUCAUGAAUCGUUAGGUCGUCGUAGUGUUUUGUAUGACUAUAAAUUUACGUAAGCUGAAAUUCAACAUCCUUGAUGACUUGAUUUUGUGCGCCAGAUCCCAUACUACGCCAAAUCAUCUCACCUGCAUUCCAGCAAGUGAAAAGCUUUGUUCUUGAGCUUUGUUCUUGAUGCUUUGACCAGUUUCGACAUGAACGGCAGACUGGUUAAGACAAGAGUUUCACGAUCCUGCUCGUUCCUGCGUUGGGUAAACUUGUUAUGCAAAAAUGAUCCACCAGGGUCGUUUCCAAUCGCCUAUGACCCUGUCUGAGAGAACCUUGAAAUCGAAAUUCCCCGCAUUGCUGGGAACAGACCAAUAUCAAAGACUGCUAUUUACCUGUCAACAGUUUCAUUCUAUACUGAACAGAUGCAUGCAUGUGCGUGAAUAAAUAUUCGGGUAAAGAUUAAAUAACGAUCAUUGUUACACAUUAUUUAUCCUUGAAUUGUUAUUCACGCACAUGCAGGCUUUAUUUAAAUGAGCUAUAUCUAAGAAUGAAUAAAAAAGUGGGAUCAUCGGUCAAAUUAUCGGCCACAGGCCAGCCAUAGCCAUAGGCAUAGGUAAUCCGUUCAUUCACCUAGCUUCCUCCAUUAAGGGGUACAGCGUUCGAAUCGCAAUCGUGCAGCAAUCUAGCCAAGGUGAUUCAGACUACAUAUGGAACCCUACACAGUCUUGAAGCCCUUUUCGACCUGGAAUUAGCGUCAGACAAUGGUCCGAUCCAGGUCCUGAUAAACUAGCCACCACCACGACUCCACGACGACCUUAUACCAUUCGCACAUUUCUGCACCUAUGGUAUUCCACAGUAUAUGUUAUUUGAUGGUUAUAUUGAUCCUUACGAUAGUCUUGAAGCCAUUUUCGACCUGGAAUUAGCGUCAGACAAUCUCCAAAUGGUCCGACAACGUCCAUCACCAUAUAGCCACCAUUUAUCAUAUACUGUGGUAUCCCACAGUAACGGUGCUAGCGAACCAACACCGUUACUAUACUUGGAAUGUUUUAUCAAGUCUUUUAUACUGUUAAAUAGAUGUUGGAAAACAGCUACUGUCCGUUUUGGCAUCUGUUGGACCUUUAUGUUGGAUUUGGUAAAUGAGAUAGACUAAAUUGACGAAAAUAAAAAAUGAACAAUUUUC